rnacentral:rRNA from 1 species
UACGUAGGGUGCGAGCGUUGCCCGGAUUUAUUGGGCGUAAAGGGCGCGUAGCGGUGCCGUACGUCCGUUGUGAAAUCGCUCGGCUCAACUGGGCGGGGUCAGCGGAUACGGUGACACUUUGAGCAAGCUAGGGGGCAAUGGAAUUCCCGGUGUAGUGGUGGAAUGCGUAGAUAUCGGGAGGAAUCACCAGUGGCGAAGGCAGGUCUCUGGGCCAUUACUGACGCUGAUGCACGAAAGCUAGGGGAGCAA